rnacentral:rRNA from 1 species
UUAAGCGACUAAGCGUACACGGUGGAUGCCCUGGCAGUCAGAGGCGAUGAAGGACGUGCUAAUCUGCGAAAAGCGUCGGUAAGGUGAUAUGAACCGUUAUAACCGGCGAUGUCCGAAUGGGGAAACCCAGUGCAAUUCGUUGCACUAUCGUUAACUGAAUACAUAGGUUAACGAGGCGAACCGGGGGAACUGAAACAUCUAAGUACCCCGAGGAAAAGAAAUCAACCGAGAUUCCCCCAGUAGCGGCGAGCGAACGGGGAGCAGCCCAGAGUCUGAAUCAGCUUGUGUGUUAGUGGAACGGUCUGGAAAGUCCGACGGUACAGGGUGAUAGUCCCGUACACCAAAAUGCACAGGUUGUGAACUCGAAGAGUAGGGCGGGACACGUGGUAUCCUGUCUGAAUAUGGGGGGACCAUCCUCCAAGGCUAAAUACUCCUGACUGACCGAUAGUGAACCAGUACCGUGAGGGAAAGGCGAAAAGAACCCCGGCGAGGGGAGUGAAAAAGAACCUGAAACCGUGUACGUACAAGCAGUGGGAGCACCUUCGGGUGUGACUGCGUACCUUUUGUAUAAUGGGUCAGCGACUUAUAUUCUGUAGCAAGGUUAACCGUAUAGGGGAGCCGCAGGGAAACCGAGUCUUAACUGGGCGUUAAGUUGCAGGGUAUAGACCCGAAACCCGGUGAUCUAGCCAUGGGCAGGUUGAAGGUUGGGUAACACUAACUGGAGGACCGAACCGACUAAUGUUGAAAAAUUAGCGGAUGACUUGUGGCUGGGGGUGAAAGGCCAAUCAAACCGGGAGAUAGCUGGUUCUCCCCGAAAGCUAUUUAGGUAGCGCCUCGUGAAUUCAUCUUCGGGGGUAGAGCACUGUUUCGGCUAGGGGGUCAUCCCGACUUACCAACCCGAUGCAAACUACGAAUACCGAAGAAUGUUAUCACGGGAGACACACGGCGGGUGCUAACGUCCGUCGUGAAGAGGGAAACAACCCAGACCGCCAGCUAAGGUCCCAAAGUCAUGGUUAAGUGGGAAACGAUGUGGGAAGGCACAGACAGCCAGGAUGUUGGCUUAGAAGCAGCCAUCAUUUAAAGAAAGCGUAAUAGCUCACUGGUCGAGUCGGCCUGCGCGGAAGAUGUAACGGGGCUAAACCAUGCACCGAAGCUGCGGCAGCGACACUAUGUGUUGUUGGGUAGGGGAGCGUUCUGUAAGCCUGCGAAGGUGACCUGUGAGGGUUGCUGGAGGUAUCAGAAGUGCGAAUGCUGACAUAAGUAACGAUAAAGCGGGUGAAAAGCCCGCUCGCCGGAAGACCAAGGGUUCCUGUCCAACGUUAAUCGGGGCAGGGUGAGUCGACCCCUAAGGCGAGGCCGAAAGGCGUAGUCGAUGGGAAACAGGUUAAUAUUCCUGUACUUGGUGUUACUGCGAAGGGGGGACGGAGAAGGCUAUGUUAGCCGGGCGACGGUUGUCCCGGUUUAAGCAUGUAGGCUGGUUAUCCAGGCAAAUCCGGAUAAUCAAGGCUGAGGUGUGAUGACGAGGCACUACGGUGCUGAAGUAACAAAUGCCCUGCUUCCAGGAAAAGCCUCUAAGCAUCAGGUAACAUCAAAUCGUACCCCAAACCGACACAGGUGGUCAGGUAGAGAAUACCAAGGCGCUUGAGAGAACUCGGGUGAAGGAACUAGGCAAAAUGGUGCCGUAACUUCGGGAGAAGGCACGCUGGUGUGUAGGUGAAGCCCCUGCGGGUGGAGCUGAGACCAGUCGAAGAUACCAGCUGGCUGCAACUGUUUAUUAAAAACACAGCACUGUGCAAACACGAAAGUGGACGUAUACGGUGUGACGCCUGCCCGGUGCCGGAAGGUUAAUUGAUGGGGUUAUCCGUAAGGAGAAGCUCUUGAUCGAAGCCCCGGUAAACGGCGGCCGUAACUAUAACGGUCCUAAGGUAGCGAAAUUCCUUGUCGGGUAAGUUCCGACCUGCACGAAUGGCGUAAUGAUGGCCAGGCUGUCUCCACCCGAGACUCAGUGAAAUUGAACUCGCUGUGAAGAUGCAGUGUACCCGCGGCAAGACGGAAAGACCCCGUGAACCUUUACUAUAGCUUGACACUGAACAUUGAGCCUUGAUGUGUAGGAUAGGUGGGAGGCUUUGAAGCGUGGACGCCAGUCUGCGUGGAGCCAACCUUGAAAUACCACCCUUUAAUGUUUGAUGUUCUAACGUUGGCCCCUUACCGGGGUUGCGGACAGUGUCUGGUGGGUAGUUUGACUGGGGCGGUCUCCUCCCAAAGCGUAACGGAGGAGCACGAAGGUUAGCUAAUCCUGGUCGGACAUCAGGAGGUUAGUGCAAUGGCAUAAGCUAGCUUGACUGCGAGCGUGACGGCGCGAGCAGGUGCGAAAGCAGGUCAUAGUGAUCCGGUGGUUCUGAAUGGAAGGGCCAUCGCUCAACGGAUAAAAGGUACUCCGGGGAUAACAGGCUGAUACCGCCCAAGAGUUCAUAUCGACGGCGGUGUUUGGCACCUCGAUGUCGGCUCAUCACAUCCUGGGGCUGAAGUAGGUCCCAAGGGUAUGGCUGUUCGCCAUUUAAAGUGGUACGCGAGCUGGGUUUAGAACGUCGUGAGACAGUUCGGUCCCUAUCUGCCGUGGGCGCUGGAGAAUUGAGGGGGGCUGCUCCUAGUACGAGAGGACCGGAGUGGACGCAUCACUGGUGUUCGGGUUGUCAUGCCAAUGGCACUGCCCGGUAGCUAAAUGCGGAAGAGAUAAGUGCUGAAAGCAUCUAAGCACGAAACUUGCCCCGAGAUGAGUUCUCCCUGAGACUUUAAGUCUCCUGAAGGAACGUUAAAGACGAUGACGUUGAUAGGCCGGGUGUGUAAGCGCAGCGAUGCGUUGAGCUAACCGGUACUAAUGAACCGUGAGGCUUAACCUU